GCCUCGGUAGUCUAGUGGUCUAGGAUCUCGGGUUGUCGACCCGAGGACCCGGGUUCAAAUCCCGGCCGGGGCG
rnacentral:tRNA from 1 species